rnacentral:lncRNA from 1 species
CGGCGGAGCCAGGAGUCGCGAGAGGCGGCGAUUGAGAAGAGUAGGUGGCGGCGUUGGGUGGAGAAGAGGGGUAAGGAGCGAGCGAUGGAGGAGAUUGGGUCGCGGCGGAAGGUGAAGAGGGUGAAGACGAUGGAGCAGAAGGUGAGGAGUAAGAAGAUGUUUCUGACGCGAGGGGAGAUUAGGGGAGGUGAUUUGGAGGGGAAGGGCAUCUCAGGCGAGAUGGAGUCGGGUCUUGAGAGAGGUGGAUCGGAUCGUCUCUUUCGUCUUGUCUGGUUCAUUUCUGAGGUUUUGUUUACUCAGUCUCUCUCUCUCUCUCUCCGUGAAUUCGUCCAGGCUUUAUGUUUCUCGGAAGCUGGAAGGCGAAACCGUCUCCGUUACAGUGAAUGGUUUCACUUUUACGGGUCGGGUAAUACCAGAUUCUGUCCGGCUCUAAUCGUCGGACCCUGCUAGCUGAGGUAGAGGUUUAGGUGUCUUGUUUCUUAAACCACCCAUUAUAAAAGAACACCGUAACUCUGUCACUAUGCAAAUACAAGAUGUGACUUAUAUGAAUGUUAAUGUAGCUAGGCCUGGCACUUUUAUCUGAGAUCCGGAUUUGAUCCGAGAUGAGAUCCGGAUCCGAUCCAAAAAUCCAGAUAUCCGGAGGAGUCGAAUCUAGAUCCGGAUAGUAAAAUGUUAGAUCCGUCAAAGCCGGAUCCGGAUCCGGAUAUCUUAAUUUUUAAGUCCGGAUAUCCGGAUCCGUAAGUUUUAUUAAUAAAUAUUUCAAAAAUAGUAAUAUCUAUAUAUAUAAAUUAAUUUUAUUUAAUAUAUUUUCAUUUUUAUAAUAGUAUAUAUAAAUUUUAUGUAAAUUUUGUAAUAUUAUACAUAGAAAUAAUUAAAGACAUUAUAUAUAUUUUUAUUUUUAAAUUAUUGUUAAUAUUUUUUAUAUAUUAAUAUUAUUUUUUAUUUAUUUAAGGAUCCAAAUCUGGAUCCGGAUAUCCGCCGGAUAUUACAAUUUUUAUAAGGAUAUCCGACACCCGGAUAUCAGAGAACCCCGGAUCCGGAUAAGGAUAGUAAAAUUAUGGAUCCGCCGGAUAAGGAUCCGAAUCCGGAUAUCUUAAAAUUGCCCGGAUAUCCGAUCCGUACCAGGCCUAAAUGUAGCAUUUGUAUCAUGAAAUACCAAAUUUAUUUUUCAUAUGACAGAAGUAAAUCUUGAAUAUCAAAGCAAUCUCUUACAAUUUCACUGCUCUAUAUUUAUUAUUUGGUAUGUACAAGAAUUAUAUAUACACGUUUUAUCCAACGAACAUGUGGAUGCUUAUAAAAGAACAACUAAAUAUGUUGUGUAAUAUAGAUAUGUAUGUUUAUGUAUAGUAAAACUAGGUGUUUUCAUGUGCACCAGUAAGAAAUUUUUUAAAUCUAAACUAUAUUUAAAAAUAAAUUUUACUAAAUAUUAUAGAUUUUACUAUUUUCUUAUUAAUAUUUAAUAUAGAUUUGAUAUAUAUUAAAUCAAUUUGUAUAAAACUAAUAAAAAUGAUAUAAAAUUGUAUAAUUAUCAAAAAUUUAGCUUAAACAAGAACAAGAAUAACAAAUCAAACCAAAAAAAAAAACUAAUCAAUCAAAUACACUAAAUUUAACAGAUGAAAGGGUAUACUCAGACAGCCAAGGGUUAUUCUUCAACUUCCGGGAGAAGAGCCCAGAUCAGAAACUCUAGUCCACAACAUAAAUGUAUCAUCACCAUAUUACCCUUCCACAUUCAAUAAACACAAAAAAUUUCCACUCUAUAUUAUUCAGGAGUUCAAAAAGGUGAAGGAUGACACAAGCAACAGAACAUAACGCAGAGAUAGUGACGAACACGGCUGGGAAGUAUUUGCACAGAAACAUACAUGAUUAAAUGAAAACAAUAUACGAGGCAUUUCCAGGAUCAAAAAGCACUAAAAAGGCAAGAUGAUCAGGAUAUACCACAAAAUUACUAUUGCGUCACAAGCCAUUAUACCUGAGGGAAUGGUGUUUCUCCCUCAGAAUUGGUAAUGGACGCCAACACAAAAAGACAAACACUCGAAUUGAUAUGCUCAGUGGAAGGAGAAGUCGUUUAAUUAGGAAAGCUCACGGCAACAACAAACCCUUCACAGAAUUUGUAAUUGUCCACUGCUCUUCUUACACUCUUCGUGUUUUUAUCUCAUCAUAGCAUCAAAAUACAUAACAAUCCAACAAAAAAACAUCUAAACUCAAUAUAAGAAGCUUCAGUGUGUGUAACAAAGUCAGAUCAUUGAUCGAUAAAACCUCACUGAAAUCCGCUAAGAUAUUUGUUUUUUUUUUAUCAUCCUAAGCUUUUUAUAUAAGCCCCAUCUAAAACAAAACCGAGAACAUAAACAUAAACUCAAAACAAAAAGAGAGUUUUUAUGAUUGGUGUGAAAGAAUACUCAGACAGCCAAGGGUUACUCUUCAACUUCUGGGUGAAGUGCCCAGAUCUGAAACUCUAGUCCAUAACAUUAUUGUAUCAUCACCAUACUUACUUCCACACCCCCAAAAAAAAAACACUUCACAAAAAGCAUAAACUCCACGAUGAAAAAGUAACAGAAAAGGUCUUAAGUUUUGUGUAAGACGAAAAGCAUAUAAAUACACAGCCAAACAUAGACGAAACCGAGAACUAGGGUUCCCCCGGCGGUUAUAAUUUAUUUUAGCCUUUUCUUGACCCAUUUAGUUUCACUGAGCCCAUCUUACGUGGCCCAAACAGACAACUUCAUUACUGUAUAAACUCACACACCUUCCCUUACUAUUUCUGGUAAACCAGUCAACACACAAAACCCAAAAAGGGAAAGAAAGAUAAACAUAUAAAAUGAAGAAAAUCCAACUUGUGUUCAUACCCGCGGCGGAAAUUGGCCAUCUCCGGUCAACCGUCGAGUUAGCUAAGAAACUCCUCGACGAAGACGAUCUUCUCUCAAUCACCGUACUCAUCAUCCCUCGCCCUUCCGCCGACGAUUCCGACCACGUUACACCCCUUUUCACGCCGUCUCAAGAACGCCUCCGUCACGUCACCAUCUCCGCCGCAGAUCAACCACCCGACGUUCCUCUCGAUCCUAAAGCCUUCAUGGACAACCAAAAGCCGAAAGUGAGAGACGCAGUCUCCAAACUCCUCGACUCGCCGCCGCGGCUCGCCGGAUUCGUCGUCGACAUGUUCUGCACGUCGAUGAUAGAAGUAGCUGAAGAAUUCAAAGUCCCUACGUAUAUGAUGUACACGUCAAACGCUGCGUUUCUAGGAAUCACGCUUCAUCUCCAGUUAAUGUUCGACGAGAAGAGGUAUGACGUCAGCGAGUUGGACGACUCGGUCAACGAGUUGGACUUCCCGUGUUUGACUCGUCCUUAUCCUGUGGAAUGUCUUCCUUAUCUAUUCACCUCUAAGCAGUGGCUUCCCUUCUUUUUUGACCAAGCACGAAACUUCCGAAAGUUGAAGGGUAUUUUGGUAAAUUCCUUUGCUGAGCUGGAGCCUCACUCUUUGAAAAUAUUCUCUGGUGACCUUCCUCAAGCGUAUCCAGUGGGACCACUGCUGCAUCUCCAAAACGACGUCGUCGAAGCGAAGCAAUAGGAGGUUUUACGGUGGCUCGACGAGCAACCGGCGAGGUCGGUCGUGUUCCUCUGUUUCGGGAGCAUGGGAGGCUUCAACGAGGAGCAAACGAGAGAAAUCGCCGUCGCGUUGGAAAGAAGCGGCCACCGGUUUCUCUGGUCUCUCCGCCGCGGAUCGCCGGAUAUACUGACGGAGCCUCCCGGAGAUUACGCGAAUCCGGAGGAGGUUCUACCGGAGGGAUUCUCGGAUCGGACGUCGGGGAGAGGGAAGGUGAUCGGAUGGGCUCCGCAAGUGGCGGUGCUCGCUAAGCCGGCGAUCGGGAGCUUCGUUACCCACUGCGGAUGGAACUCGGUGCUCGAGAGCUUGUGGUUCGGCGUUCCGAUGGUGACGUGGCCGCUCUACGCGGAGCAGAAGAUCAACGCGUUCGAGAUGGUGGAGGAGCUUGGACUGGCGGUGGAGAUACGGAGGUUCUUUAGAGGAGAUUUGUUGGGCGGAGAGAUGGAGACGGUUGCGGCGGAGGAUAUUGAGAGAGCGGUGAGGCGUGUGAUGGAGGAAGGUAGUGACGUCAGGAAGAGAGUGAAGGAGAUGGCUGAGAAGUGCCACGUGGCGUUAGAGGAUGGUGGAUCUUCGCAGGUGGCUUUGCAGAAGUUUAUUCGAGACGUGGUCGAAAACGUUGUGGUCUAAUUGGAUGGAACCAUGUGGAGGCAAAGUAGAAAGGAUAGUUUAUGUACACCGUUAUUACUAAUUUCCCACCAAAAAAAAAAAAAAAAUUCCCACUUUGGAUAAUACGGUUAUGAAACGUUAGUAUACCAUGUAUGUUACAUUUCUUGAAUAAGAUUCUGAUGUGUAUAUGUACCGUUAAGAAUAAUAAUAAUAAUCAAAAUUGUCUUAUAGAAAUGAUUGUUGUGUUUCAAAACUUCCAACUGAUUGAAGUGUCAUAGAUGAAAUCAGUAUAUCAGCUUAAAUGAACGUAAUGUCACGGCCUUUUUCUCGAUGAUAAUGCGAACCACAUCAUUAGAUACAGACCAGUAUACAUCUUACAUCUCCAGAUAAGCGACAUGAUGGCUUCCACACGUGUAGGCACGGGGACGCUUUCGCUAGCAGCUUUGAGGUCCACGAAAAACACAGUGUCGUCGUCUCCGAAGACGAACCACCGCACGUCUUUAGAACUAACCUCCUCGACGCGGUAUGCUCAAACGGGCUGGGAACAGUUCAAGGCAUGCCUAUGGAAACAACAACUCUCUUAUUGGAGAAACCCUUCCUACAAUCUCACUCGCAUCCUCUUCAUGUGUCUUACCUCUGUGAUCUGUGGCGUUUUGUUCUGGCAAAAGGCUAAUAAAAUGUUACUCUCUUGCCUCUCAACUUUCUUUAAGUUUGUUUUCUCUCAAACUUUAUGUUUUAUCUUUCUUCUUUGGCAGAAACACUCAACAAGAUCUUUUCAAUGUAUUGGGAUCAAUGUACACGGUGGUUCUUUUCACUGGAAUAAACAAUUGCUCUACCGUAUUAUUCUGCAUUGCAACCGAACGAAAUGUCUUCUACCGCGAAAGAUUUGCUCAAAUGUACAACUCAUGGGCCUACUCCCUUGCACAGGUUAACACAUUUUCCUCAAAUCAAAUCCAUACAGGGAGUAAUAGAUAAACUGAAGCCUUAACUUUUGUAGGUGUUGGUUGAGAUUCCAUACUCAUUAGUCCAGUCUAUAUUAUGUGUUGCAAUAUUAUAUCCUAUGGUUGGCUAUCACGUCUCGCUCUACAAAGUGUUUUGGAGCUUCUACUCAGUCUUCUGCUCGCUGCUCAUUUACAACUACUUUGGCAUGCUUUUAGUUGUCAUCACCCCAAACAUUCACGUUGCUUUUACUCUACGCUCUGGUUUCUACUCGAUGGUCAAUCUCUUCGCUGGUUAUGUCAUUCCAAAACCUGUAAGUACCUCUUUUUUUUUUCAGAAAGAUAAAAAUAUCAAAUGUAUGAGAGUUUUGUUGAUUGAUAUGCAGAGCAUUCCGAAAUGGUGGAUUUGGAUGUAUUACUUGAGUCCCACGUCAUGGAUCUUAAACGGGUUGCUCACAUCUCAGUAUGGAGAUAUGGAGAAAGAGAUAGUAGCAUUUGGAGAGAGGAAGAAGGUUUCAGAUUUCGUGGAAGAUUAUUUUGGUUUCAGAUAUGGUCAUAUGACUCUUUGGCUGUUGUAGCUAUCGUUCUCAGUGUCUUCCCCAUUCUCCUGGCUUCUCUUUUCGCAUUCUUCAUCGGUAAACUCAAUUUCCAAAAGAAGUGAUUCUUAUAAUCCUGCUUCACUGUGUCGGUAUGAACAGUGUAUUGGUAUUUAGCAAAUAAAUAAAUUUAAGUUUCUACAUAUGUUACUUUUGUGUCCAAAAAAGAACAAACGGUUGCGGGUGUAACAUUCGAAGAGCAAAGUGACCCUCACCACAUGAGAAAAAAAAAACUCAAACAUAUAAAAGGCAAAGUGACUUUCACCGCAUGACAUUAAAAAAAAAAAAGAACUCAAAACUUAGGAUGGAGUAUGAGAAACAUCAAUGCCUGCACAACUGUAUAUACAGAGGAAGGAUCUCAGCAUUAUUCUUCUCCUUGGCCAAAAGUAAGUAAAAUGAUAUCUUGCAUAUUUGCAUUAUUUUAACUUUUCAUUCUUGCAUAUUUUGGUCAUUUAGAUUAGGAAUUAUGCAUUUUAGCUUCCUUUUUGCAUAAGUUUUUAUCAGGUGUUAGAGUGUCCAUUGGAGUUUUUGGAGGUACUUGGAGGCCUUUGGAAUCAAAAAGGGAGUGGAAAGUGUUGUUUGAGCGAGUAGAGCACCGGAGCGGGCAACGGGAGCAACCUACGACACCCGCUCCAGACGAAACGAAGUCAGAACGACGUCCUGCAGCGGGGUUAGGCUCCCGCUCUGAGCCCAAUAGCUCGUCGAUCACUUUCGAGAGCUGGAGUGACCAAGACGGAGCGAGGUCAGUCACCAGCGCGUAAAAUGAAGAAACAAAGUAUGCAUUUGGAGCGACGUCCCGGAGCGAGGUGAGGCACCCGCUCCGAACUCAACUUCUCGUCGACGACUUUCGAGAGCCGGAGCGACCAAGACGGAGCUAGGUCAGCAACCCGCGCGCAAUAUGAAGAAACAAAGCAUGCAUUUGGAGCGACGUCCCGGAGGGAGGUGGCGAACCCGCUCUGGAAGCAGAGCGACCUGGUGGAGCGACCUCAUGAACCCACACGCGUUUCUCUUCUUCUGAUCGAAAAUUUAUGUUUUAUUUGGGCCUUUCAGGUUGUUGACUGAGCCCACCAGAUCGUAGAAGUCAUAUAAAUACUCUCUAAACCUAAUGUUAGGAUCUUAUCUCAUUUUCUAUAUAAUCAAAAAGCCACUUUUAGGUGAAAGAUCUAAUCUUGAUCAUUAUCUUUUAUGAUUGUUUGAUUGCUUUGAUCAUUAAUCAUGUUUAGACUUAGAUCAGCUAAUAAUUUAGUGUCUACCAUGAUAAUGAGUGAGUAGUCAUCUUUGGAUUCAUGGGUUAAGAUGAUUAGGAUGAUUAAGUGAUGAUCUAGAAUGUUUAGAGUAUAUUAAUAUGUUUCUUUGCUUGAUUGAGUGAUCUUAAUGCUAAUCUAGAGUUGGCCAUUUUAGAUUAGAAAUCUAGACAUUUCAUUGUCCGGAAGGUGUUCGAUGAAAUGUUUGAGCCAACUCAACAUGCUCUUAGCUUACCUUACCAAAAGCAUUUGAUGUUAGAGAAAUUUAGAAAGUUGAAUGAUCUGUUCUUAAUGAUUAUUUGAUUGACACAAACCAAAGGCAUUUGAUGUUUGAUCAAUGAGAGUAAAUGAACAUUUGUAAUGAGAGUAAAUGAGCAUUUGUCUUGACAAAGAACUUGAUUAGAAUUGUUAUCUAGACUUGUGAAAAUGUGUUGAUUGAAAUUUUGUCAUUUUAGAUUAAAUCUUAGACAUCUGAAAUCAAAUUCUUAUACUCAUGACUCUUCAUUUAUCCAUUUGCUUAAAAGUUGCUAGUAAAUUGUGUUAGAGUCAUGUUAGCUUAAUCAAAUCAUUUCAUUACAUUAAAUGUAUUUAGCUUAAAUAUGAACCUGAUUUCUCUUAGAAUUGAAAUACUUAGAAAUAGAUUGACAUCUAAAAUACUAUUUUGAUUUGAACUUCGGACCCUUGAAAAGUCCAUAUCAUAAGACAAAAAAACAAACUUGGUGGAAAAUACACAAUCCUUCGAAGUUACGUCUGGUUCGGACUCUGGUCUCUUCUAUAAGACAUUUACUUCUGAAGUUAGCCAGGAAGAAUAAAACUAACCCACCCCUACAAGCUACAAGACAAAAAACACAUUAGGUUAAUAUUGUUAGGAUUGAUUCAGGCAGAGGUCUAUUAAAAUAAGAAACUUACCUCAGGAUUCUGCCAUUGAUUUACAUCAGAAGAAUAUUAGACUCAGGCGCUGUUUAGCUGAUUCUUGAAGUGAAUGGUUAGAGAAAGAAAAAAAUGCUAAGUGUUCAUGGCAAUUAGCUCAUCAGGCAUGCAUUGCCUUAUGUUAAUGACCAUUGAAGUGUUAUAAGGCGAUGAGAUGUCACAGCACUGACGGCGAGGCGGAUUCAUCUGUCAUUUUAUUCAAGAGAAGAAAAAAAGAUUUUAGAUCUGGCCAAUUUAUAUAGCAAAGGAGUAUUUAUAAAACUAUACCUGUUCAACGUUAAGUUUCAGCUUACGAGACAGAACUCGGAUGCGUUGUAAUCGCUUAACAGCUUCUCCUCGGUGGCAGUUUCCCACACUAUGAAGCUUAUAGCUACUCCACGUCCCAUCAGUCUCAUCUGAUCCUACACCAUACAAGAAAAAGACGAGCGGCCUGGCACAUGGAUCUCUGGGAUACUCUCUUGUGCUGAACAUAUAGUUGCUCCGGACUCCUGACCCUCUCCUCCAUGUAGAAAACGUCUUUUGCAAGGUGAGAAGAUCCGGGAGGAGUUUAUUCCCUUCAUAGACUUGAAUCGCGUAGCCCCACACAACCGAAACAGUCACUGUGUUUGAAGGAUCAUAACACACACUCUGCUGCAAGAUCCUAGCGGAAUCCAAACUUGCAGCACCGAUGAGACGAGCCACGGACUCGGUCCGGUUUGUUUUUGGAAAGAAUGGAUCAACCGCGUCCAAGUGAUGAAGUGAUACCAAUGGAGCUAAAGGGUGCGCGCAUAGCAGUCCAAAUAGGUUCCCUCUUAUAUCAAUCUAUGAAAAAAUAGCACAUAUAUAGUAAUGUUCAGACAGUAACUACACUUGUCCAAAACCAACCAACCAAGGAAAGUAACCUUAUACUUCAGUUAUUGAGCUAAACUUUCCAAAUAUAGAAACUCUCUGUUGUUCAUCAAUCAGCAUCCAUGGAACUAUUUUUCAAUCAUUGUUGAAAAUAGUAAAUAUUCGGACAGUAGCUACACUUGUCCAAAUAGAACCAAACAAGGCAAGUAAAAUAAGACUUCAGUUAUUUAGCUUAACUUUCCAAAUAUAGAAACUGGUCUGUUGUUCAUCAAUCAGCAUCAAUGGAACUACAUUUCAAUCAUUGUUGAAAAUAGUAAUGUUCAGACACAAUCCAAAACCAACCAAACAAGGCAAGCAAGCUAACACUUCAGUUACUGAACUUAACUUUCCAAAUAAAGAAGAAACUCUCUGUUCAUCAAUCAGGCAUCAAUGGAACUAUAAUUAAAUCAUUGAUAAAAAAUAGCAAUGUUCAGACACUAACUACACAUAUAUAGUAGUAAUGUUCAGACACUAACUACACUUAUCCCAAAACCAACCAAACAAGGCAAGUAAAAUAAGACUUCAGUUAUUUAGCUUAACUUUCCAAAUAUAGAAACGAUCUCAAUUACUAUUAAAACCUAGAAAGUUGGUUUCUUUACGUUAUACCUGAUGAAACCCAGGCUCGUGAGUCAACGCAACACCAAGCUCAGCUAAGCAAGAGAAGAUCCUGGAGUCGCUCCCAUACAUAUGCGCAUACCUCAUCAAACAAGAAUCCAAAACCCUAGCAAGAACCUUCCCAAGCGAAGCGCUGAUCGCGAACCCUCCGCCACCAAACGCCAUAUCAAACGAGUACCUCACAUUCUGAUCAUAAAACUCCGAGUUGCUCCCCACGUACCACCACUUCCGGUGAUCGUACUUUGACAAAACCGUGACGAGAUUGUCCACGAAAAACACAGUGUCGUCGUCUCCGAAGACGAACCACCGCACGUCUUUGUUAUCUCCCCCAUCAAUUGUCUCUUUGACGACGCGAGCGACGCGGAUCGCCGAUCGGAGUCCGCCGGGGAAGGUGUAAGGAAACCUGGAGACGUCUUGGGAGACGAUCACGGGAGGGAGGGUGUGAUCGCGAUCGGGAUCGGGAUCGAGUCCUCCGCCGCCGCCGCGAUCGAGGAAGACGACGGCGCGCGUGGAGGAGUCGGGGGAGUACCAGAGGCGGACGUAGGAGCUGCGGCGGAGCCAGGAGUCGCGAGAGGCGGCGAUUGAGAAGAGUAGGUGGCGGCGUUGGGUGGAGAAGAGGGGUAAGGAGCGAGCGAUGGAGGAGAUUGGGUCGCGGCGGAAGGUGAAGAGGGUGAAGACGAUGGAGCAGAAGGUGAGGAGUAAGAAGAUGUUUCUGACGCGAGGGGAGAUUAGGGGAGGUGAUUUGGAGGGGAAGGGCAUCUCAGGCGAGAUGGAGUCGGG